rnacentral:lncRNA from 1 species
AGUGUAUCAAGUUAGUAUCCUGUGAUUUCGCACUUUUUCACUUUUGUACUUUGUGGUUUAAAUUGUAUCAAGUCAGUACUCUGUGAUUUUAUUUUUGUAUCAAGUUAUUACCAUACGGUUUCAUUUUUCUCUUUUUAUUAUCCGUUUCGGGGUAUUUUUUUUGUUUAAUCAGUGACAAAGUUAAAACUAAAGUGUACUAAAAUGAAUAUUCGAUAAACCUAGGUAGGGUAUCUUAAGUUUUUUGUAUAUAAUUUAACGAAAUAUUAAACUAUAUGGUACUAAAGUGAGAAAAUGCAAAACCACAGGGUAUUAACUUGAUACACUUUAAACCAAAGGGUACUAAAGUGAGAAAGUGUGAAACCACAGGGUACUAAUUUGAUACACUUUAAACCACAUGAUACUAAAGUGAGAAAGUGCGAAACCACGGGGGGUAUGUGAAGUUUUCCCAAUAUAUAAAAAUGUACUUAGGAGGUGUUUGAUUCCGCAUAAAUGAAUCGAAAAAUUAUUUUUGGUAUAAAAAAUAUUUUUUCGCUUCUUUGGUUUCGACGUAAAACUAUUCAUUUGCAAAAGUAUUUUUACGAAUUGGAAAAAAAAAAAUUGGAGUUUUUAUUUCUUUGCUGUUUUUCGGCAGAAAACAAGAACCCAAGCUGAAUAAAAUUUUUUUCAUUCAUUUUUUUUACCGAGCCAAAUCUUAACCUAUAUGAAUUUUCAAUGUUUGUUGCCACGUGGCAAGUUCUCCUUCACCCUCACUAGCAUGUGACUUUUCUUUUCCAAACUUUCUUGCAUUUUAACGAUCUCACUAACUAAACUUUCAAUUAGUGGAUUUAAAUGGUUCCACUAUUAUCUAUAAUUCUAUCGUUUCUAUUUACAAUUAUUUACCAUGACCCUUUCCCUUUCCUCUACUAUACUUUCAAUUAAUGCAAACGGUCCCACUAUCAAACUUUCAAUUAGUAUAUUUAAAUAGUCCCACUACGUACCAUCUACAAUCCUAACCUUUUUAUUUUCAAUUAUUCAUCAUGGCCCUUUUCCUUCCCUCCACCAGACUUUCAAUUCUUUAUCUCCAAUCUAUUCAUUAAUUCUCUAUCUCUCAUUUUUUGCUAUACACUAUCGCCUCCUUCCCUCACUCCCUCCCUCUCUCUUACUAGUGCGUGCCCACUUUCCCCUUCCGCUGUGGUCGGAGGGAUUGUUGUCGCCGUCACUAUCAUCAUUGCUGGAGAAGGCAUCGUCGAAUCUAUAUCCUCUGUCACAGUGAGAGAACUUUGGUAGAUGUGCCAAGUGCGAUACAGAAGAGAAUGUUUAAUAUUUUCUUAUUAUUAAUUAUUACUACGGUUUCUACCCACGGCAAAGUGCGGGUUCCUUCACUAGUAAAUGUGAAUUCUUUUCCCUUAAAUCAAACAAAUAUUGAUGAAAAAAAUUUUUCUUAUAAAAUAAACACUAUGAAACAUAAAACUUUUUUUCUCCACCGAAAGUUUUUUUCUAUGAAAAAUUAUUUUUCAAAAUUUUAUGUUAAACCAAACAAACCCUUAGCCAUAGAUCAUACUAAAAUCACAUUUCAAUUAUUUUUUAACAAUAUUGCUCUUACACCCUUAUAUAAGAUAUAAGAUUUACACCCUAUAUAUCCAUCAUAAUAUCCAUAUUCUUUAUCUUGUCUUAAACAAUGCUACAAAUACACCCAAAUAAUAAAGUGUAUAUCUCACAUAAUCUUAAGGUAAAACUUUAAAAAUCCCCCCUGUGGUUUCGUAGUUUUUUACUUUGCUCCCCUAUGGUUUAAAAUGUAUCAAUUUGCCCCCAUGUGGUUUCUUUUUUCUCUUUUUCUUAUCAAUUUCAUUAUUUUUUUUUUCUUAAAUCAGUGAUAAAGUUAAAAUUAAACGGUACUAAAGUAAAUAUUUGAUAAAUCUAGAUGGAUAUCUGAAGUUUUUUGUAUAUAAUUUAAUGAAAUAUUAACGAAAAAGCUACCGAAAAGAUAAAAAUAAAACAACAGGGGGGCAAUUUAAUACAUUUUAAACCACAG